rnacentral:SRP_RNA from 1 species
AUGGCAACCGGGUGUCUGCACUAAGUUCGGCAUCAAUAUGAUGACCUUCUGGGAGCAGGCGGCCACCAGGUUGCCUAAGGAUAAGUGAACUGGCCCAGAUCAGAAAGGGAGCAGGUCAGAACUCCCGCACCAACCGGUAGUGUGACUGUGCCUGGGCAAU